rfam:Gossypium arboreum cultivar AKA8401 contig_25768_3, whole genome shotgun sequence.
AAACCAUGAUGUGGACAUUUUUUUAUAAACAGUUUAAAGCAUUCCCAAGCUUCGUGAAAGUUCUCUACUUGUAACUGCCUAAAGUUAAUGAUUUCUCUUCUCAUUU